rnacentral:rRNA from 1 species
AACGUACCCUUUGGUUCGGGACAACUCUGGGAAACUGGAGCUAAUACCGGAUACGCCCUUUUGGGGAAAGGUUUACUGCCGAAGGAUCGGCCCGCGUCUGAUUAGCUAGUUGGUGGGGUAACGGCCUACCAAGGCGACGAUCAGUAGCUGGUCUGAGAGGAUGAUCAGCCACACUGGGACUGAGACACGGCCCAGACUCCUACGGGAGGCAGCAGUGGGGAAUAUUGGACAAUGGGCGCAAGCCUGAUCCAGCCAUGCCGCGUGAGUGAUGAAGGCCUUAGGGUUGUAAAGCUCUUUUAUCCGGGACGAUAAUGACGGUACCGGAGGAAUAAGCCCCGGCUAACUUCGUGCCAGCAGCCGCGGUAAUACGGAGGGGGCUAGCGUUGCUCGGAAUCACUGGGCGUAAAGGGCGCGUAGGCGGCGUUUUAAGUCGGGGGUGAAAGCCUGUGGCUCAACCACAGAAUGGCCUUCGAUACUGGGACGCUUGAGUCUGGUAGAGGUUGGUGGAACUGCGAGUGUAGAGGUGAAAUUCGUAGAUAU